GGGAAACAGGUUAAUAUUCCUGUACUUGGUGUUACUGCGAAGGGGGGACGGAGAAGGCUAGGCUAGCCGGGCGACGGUUGUCCCGGUUUAAGCGUGUAGGGGGUGUGACCUGGUAAAUCCGGUUGCAUGUUAACCCUGAGGCGUGAUGACGAUGCACUACGGUGCAGAAGUAGUUGAUGCCCUGCUUCCAGGAAAAUCCUCUAAGCUCCAGGUAACAUUAAAUCGUACCCCAAACCGACACAGGUGGUCAGGUAGAG
rnacentral:rRNA from 1 species